UGGGGAAGUAACAUUAACUUAAACGGCACGGCAGCAGCAGCAGCAGAAGGGAAAGGGGAGCGCUGAGAUGGAGGAGAGGAUCUGGAGGAGGAGCAGUGGGUAAAUGUCAAGCAACAGCUUUUUAAAACGUACUUCAUGGCAAAAUGUUAGCUGGAAAAGAGAUGAGGCUGCAAGUUGAUUAUUCUCCCCUGACUAUGAUUCACUGCUAAUGAUGACAGUACUCUCUGAGUUGAAGGAAGAGUACUACCCCAAGGACCACAGAGUCAAAAUAGAAGAUCAAUGCUGAAGAAGUCAGUUUCCUUAUCUCCCUUAGCGAAUGGCUGUGGCACUGAAGUCUGCUGUGUAGAGUCAUUUAUCUUUUCCCUGUGGAGUCCCAGAGAGUUCAGAUACCCCAGUUAAAACCAUUGACUUUGCAAUUUAUGGUAAGUCAUCAACAAGGGAAAGAGACAGACUUGGAGCUGGUUAAAACACAUUCUGAAGAAUUACCGGGAUUUGCCGGGCAAAGACAAGCAAAGCUUUUUUCUCUCGCACACUGUCCACAUACCUCUGCGACUGAUUUGUUUCCAGUUUCCAGCGCCUGUUUGCACAGACCCGACCAUCGCUCCCCCUGCCCUUCUCCGCUUCCUGUCUGAGAACAAACCGAGACAGUCAGCACAACCAAUCUCACGUCCUUUCCUAUGAAAACCACUGAACACAGUUUGUCCCGCCAGGGAAAUCGGUGCUUUAAGUAGGCGAAUAAUCCACUGACUCCGUAGGAAUAUCUCUGGAUGGAUUUUUUGAAGCGUGCUCUGGGUGGUUGGAGCUACAGGAGGAGGCUUGCACUCUCUUGCAGGCUGCAGGGAGCUCCGGGGGGGUGCUGCUGGCCCCAGCAAAGCUCUUUGGGGAGCCCUGCCGUGCUGGGGCAGCGAGCUCCUGCCCCCCCCAGCCUUCGAUCCGGCCAUUCCUCGCAUUACGCAUCGCUGGGAAUACACUCAGAAACUACAGAUGAGGUCACUCCCAAGAGUCUGCUUAGGUAUUUGGGGCCCUUGACACUGAGAGGAGCUAAAAUCUUAGACUCUAUGAAUGGUUUUUAAAGGGAAAGUGGAACUCUUUUUAUAGCGCGCUAGCCGUUUGUUAAUCUUGAAUUGGUAAA